rnacentral:lncRNA from 1 species
AGCAGACGCCAACACAUCAAGCGUCAUCAAUAGCGUGGUCUGUGGUGCAAUGCUAUCUGGAGUAAGGCGUUUACCUUCGAUUCCUACAAUUCGGGUUUUCAGCAUUCUGCUUACACCUUUGGCAUAGAGUCACAUAUUUCACAAUCCAACAUCAAUUGGUACCAACAGCAGCCCUUCUCUCCAUCAUCCAGAAGGGUCUGAGAUCAGUGUUGGAGAUGAUGGUUCGGAACAACCCAUGGAAAGCUUAUCACUCAUUGAUGCUGUGAUGCCUGAUAUUGUUGCAAGUCGUCAACAGCAAACACAGAACAAUCAGAAACCACAAGUGGUAAAGACAGAACCACCAAAUUCCAAUGGAGAUGAACCCAUGCAUUCCUAUCGCUGGGAAGAGGAAACAGGAGUAGAGAUACCUUCCAGCAAAUCAACUGUACUUCGUGGCCAUGAAUCUGAAGUUUGGCGAAGGAUGGUCGCCCAGAAGAGAACGCACCAGCAUCUCGAUGUACUCCUCUGAUCUUUGCCGGUCGAUUACCAUGGACUACACGGAAGAUGUCGAAAAAAUCAAC